GACGAACGCUGGCGGCGUGCUUAACACAUGCAAGUCGAACGGAAAGGCCCUGCUUUUGUGGGGUGCUCGAGUGGCGAACGGGUGAGUAACACGUGAGUAACCUGCCCUUGACUUUGGGAUAACUUCAGGAAACUGGGGCUAAUACCGGAUAGGAGCUCCUGCUGCAUGGUGGGGGUUGGAAAGUUUCGGCGGGUGGGGAUGGACUCGCGGCUUAUCAGCUUGUUGGUGGGGUAGUGGCUUACCAAGGCUUUGACGGGUAGCCGGCCUGAGAGGGUGACCGGCCACAUUGGGACUGAGAUACGGACCAGACUCCUACGGGAGGCAGCAGUGGGGAUUAUUGCACAAUGGGAGGAAGCCUGAUGCAGCAACGCCGCGGGCGGGAUGACGGCCUUCGGGGUGUAAACCGCUUUCGCCUGUGACGAAGCGUGAGUGACGGUAAUGGGUAAAGAAGCACCGGCUAACUACGUG
rnacentral:rRNA from 1 species